rnacentral:piRNA from 1 species
CAAGGUACCAUACAUAGUGUGAUCCACUUC